AUAAAACCGACGCGUUGGAAAGCUCGGAUCGGCGUUCCGACGAGCUUAUGGCAAGCUAGUGAGGAAAAAACCUCAUUUUAGUUUCGUUUGUCGCAAGUGAAGGUUUGGAUUAUUCAUAAAUCGCGGAAAGUGAUUUUCUCGCAUCUCGGCAUCAUUUAAAGGUAGGUGGUGCUUUUCGAAGUCAUCGAAUGACCUAUUAUUUUUACGUCACUUUUCAUGAGCAUAUAUGUAUAUGUUAGUGAUAUUCAUGCAUUAUAGGGUUGAGCUUGAUAUGUGAUUGGAUAUGGUUUACCUGUAUGCUUUGAAAGCUAAAUAUGUGUAAACAAUGGUUAGUAAACAUAGAACCCUAUAGAUGUAUGAACUUGUGUUGAAUUAUGAAAUAGUUGACAAAGUGACAUUGUUAGUAAAUGGCAUGAAUAGCACCGAGUAUUGUGAAUGUCAAACAAGGAUAAUGAACUUAUAAAAUGUGUGGCAUUCGAACUAGAUGAAUUGAUUAGCAUCUAGAGUUGGACAUGUAAACCUAGCAUAAAGAGCUAGUUAAAGUGUGGCAUUGUCAUUGUAUCCUCAAAGUCAGAAUUGGAUCAUACUCAUAUUACUCUAAUACUUGAGGUAAGGUCGCUCCUCCUUGGGCGAUGAGCUCCGAAAUUGUCAUCAACUGGGUGGGAAGCAGGUAUAUGCUCCCCAGUAAACGGUCCCGUUGGGUUGUAGCAGGCGUCUCCCCGAUAGUAGAGAUUGAGUUGGUGAGUUAUAGUUAACCAAAUGGUUAACUGGAUUGAUUGGGUAAUGGUAUAUAAUAGCAUGCAUGCAUAAAUUUCAUAUGUUAUAUAUUGUUCCUUUCAGCUUUGUACAGGCAUUGUAGUAGCUACAUGAUAUAGUUGGUUACUAUCUGUUCUUUUUCUUUCCUACAUAUGCCUGAGUAAACCUAGUUGGUGAGUCGGCGAGGUCAGUAGCCGAACCCAUUGGGAACUUUCAGUAAUUCUCACCCCACUUACCAUGCAGGUUCUAGCUCGUGUGGGUGGUUGAGGAUCGUGACUUGGACAGCGCUCCAUAGAUAGCAGACAUCCAUUGAGUAUAGUUGUACCUUGUAUAUUUCAUCUAUUUAUAGUUGAUGAAAGCAAAUGUAAAUUAUUCAUUUGAGAGAUGGCAAAUGUAUAUAUUGGAAGAAUGAAUGUAAUAAUUAUGCAAGCUUUAUAUUUGAUUUAAAGUAAUCAAGAUACAAUGUAUGAAUGGUUUAGUUAGUUUACUUUCACUUGCUUGUGUUGC
rnacentral:lncRNA from 1 species